rnacentral:tRNA from 1 species
UGGGGGAUCGUCUAAUGGCAGGACACAAGGCUCUGGUCCUUGGUAUCUAGGUUCGAAUCCUUGUCCCCCAA